AUCCUGGCUCAGGAUGAACGCUAGCGGCAGGCUUAACACAUGCAAGUCGAGGGGCAGCGCGAUGUAGCAAUACAUUGGCGGCGACCGGCGCACGGGUGCGUAACACGUAUGGAACUUACCCUUUACUGGGAGAUAGCCCGGAGAAAUCCGGAUUAAUAUCCCAUAAUAUACGAAGUGGCAUCACUUUGUUUUGAAAGCUCCGGCGGUAAAGGAUGGCCAUGCGCACGAUUAGCUAGUAGGUGAGGUAACGGCUCACCUAGGCUACGAUCGUUAGGGGGCCUGAGAGGGUUAUCCCCCACACUGGUACUGAGACACGGACCAGACUCCUACGGGAGGCAGCAGUGAGGAAUAUUGCGCAAUGGAGGCAACUCUGACGCAGCCAUGCCGCGUGCAGGAAGAAGGCGCUACGCGUCGUAAACUGCUUUUACCAGGGAAGAAACCCCCAGACGUGUCUGGGGUUGACGGUACCUGAGGAAUAAGCACCGGCUAACUUCGUG
rnacentral:rRNA from 1 species